rnacentral:rRNA from 1 species
UACGUAGGUGGCAAGCGUUGUCCGGAAUUAUUGGGCGUAAAGCGCGCGCAGGCGGUCCUUUAAGUCUGAUGUGAAAGCCCACGGCUCAACCGUGGAGGGUCAUUGGAAACUGGAGGACUUGAGUACAGAAGAGGAAAGCGGAAUUCCACGUGUAGCGGUGAAAUGCGUAGAGAUGUGGAGGAGCACCAGUGGCGAAGGCGGCUUUCUGGUCUGUAACUGACGCUGAGGCGCGAAAGCGUGGGGAGCAAACAGG